GGAUAAACCCGGAUAGGUGAAGAUGCCUGGAAUGGUGCUUCACCCAAACACCUCCGGGUGCCCAAGGAUGGGUCUGCGGCCGAUUAGGUAGUUGGUAGGGUAACGGCCUACCAAGCCCAUCAUCGGUACGGGUUGUGAGAGCAAGAGCCCGGAGAUGGAACCUGAGACAAGGUUCCAGGCCCUACGGGGCGCAGCAGGUGCGAAACCUCCGCAAUGCACGCAAGUGCGACGGGGGAACCCCAAGUGCCACUCUUAACGGGGUGGCUUUUCAGAAGUGUAAAAAGCUUCUGGAAUAAGGGCUGGGCAAGACCGGUGCCAGCCGCCGCGGUAACACCGGCAGCUCAAGUGGUAGCCGCUUUUAUUGGGCCUAAAGCGUCCGUAGCCGGUCUGAUAAGUCUCUGGUGAAAUCCCACAGCUUAACUGUGGGAAUUGCUGGAGAUACUAUCAUGACUCGAGGUCGGGAGAGGCUGGAGGUACUCCCAGGGUAGGGGUGAAAUCCUGUAAUCCUGGGAGGACCACCUGUGGCGAAGGCGUCCAGCUGGAACGAACCUGACGGUGAGGGACGAAAGCCAGGGGCGCGAACCGGAUUAGAUACCCGGGUAGUCCUGGCCGUAAACGAUGUGGACUUGGUGUUGGGAUGGCUUCGAGCUGCCCCAGUGCCGAAGGGAAGCUGUUAAGUCCACCGCCUGGGAAGUACGGCCGCAAGGCUGAAACUUAAAGGAAUUGGCGGGGGAGCAAAUCCCGCGGCCA
rnacentral:rRNA from 1 species